GACGAACGCUGGCGGCGUGCUUAACACAUGCAAGUCGAACGGAAAGGCCCUGCUUGCAGGGUACUCGAGUGGCGAACGGGUGAGUAACACGUGGGUUAUCUGCCCUGCACUUCGGGAUAAGCCUGGGAAACUGUGUCUAAUACCGGAUAGGAGCCAUUUUUCUUGUGAUGGUUGGAAAGUUUUUUCGGUGUAGGAUGAGCUCGCGGCCUAUCAGCUUGGUGGUGGGGUAAUGGCCUACCAAGGCGGCGACGGGUAGCCGGCCUGAGAGGGUGGACAGCCACAUUGGGACUGGGAUACGGCCCAGACUCCUACGGGAGGGAGGAGUGGGGAAUAUUGCACAAUGGGGGCAAGCCUGAUGCAGCGACGGCGCGUGGGGGAUGACGGCCUUCGGGUUGGAAACUCCUUUCGCUAGGGACGAAGCUUUUUGUGACGGUACCUAGAUAAGAAGCACCGGCUAACUACGUG
rnacentral:rRNA from 1 species